GGACCACAGGUGUUACGGUUGCAUAGCUCGCUCUUAACGAGUUUGGUCAGGGUUCGAAUCCCUGGUAGUCCACCA
rnacentral:tRNA from 1 species